GUUAGCGAUAGUUAUAUACAAUAUAUUUUAAAACAAUUUGUUCUGUAAAACCAACAUGAAGUUUAUAUUUCGUAAUCCAGUAUCGCUAUGUUUUGCCUUUGAAAAAUUAGACAUUUUGACUAUUCUGUAUAAAAUUUCUUCCACACGGGUGCUUUUGAUGGUGCUUUUGGAAGAAAUAUAGCACAGAAGACAGAAUGAGGCAUCAUGGGACUAAAUCUUUGUUUUAUUCCGUACACGUUCGGUUCAUUCCGUCAAAAUACACCCUAUGACAUUUAUAAGUAUUAAAAUGCAGUUUCACUUGUUGAUCCACUGCAUGGUCGAGUGGAUACAGUGGUCGGCUACAGUCCCGAUGGUCUGGAGUUCGAAUCCAGGCCUAGCACUACAUCGUUUGUAGUGUUUAAUGCAAUACUCAGUUCAUAUGGUUAAUUCAAUACCCCAAUAGUGGGGAAAAUACGGUACUCUUUCCAUAUAUAAUUCUUUUUAUAGGUAUGUUGUUAGUGGGCAUGUGCAGGUUGUGCUGUCGAAUCCAGUGGACGAUAAAUGCCCAUUCAUGGCAAUGAAAGCAAAGGUGACUCCUUCACAGAGAGCGAGAGACAAGCCCCAUGACCCAUGGGUUUACUUGGAGAAAAACAGUGGCACAGUUUACUGUGCACAUUGUACCUGUAUGGCCGGCUUAGGUGAAGUGUGCAGCCAUGUUGGAGCACUCUUGUUUAAGGUUGAGAUGAGUGUCAACUAGUCAGGCCUGUCAGUGGAAUAGUACUUUCCGAAGAGUGUAUUGUCACCAAGAGUCCCACACUUAUUCUGUUAACAUUUGCAAGGAAGCCCCACACCAAAAGAACAAAAGUAAAUUUGGACAUUCAUGGCAACUGAACCAAUGGAUGUGGAGUCAAUGAUUAGAUGUCGAAAAUGAGAUUCUGAAG